rnacentral:rRNA from 1 species
GACGAACGCUGGCGGCGUGCCUAAUACAUGCAAGUCGAACGCUUCCUACCGGUGCUUGCACCGGGAAAGAAGAGUGGCGGACGGGUGAGUAACACGUGGGUAACCUACCUACAAGCGGGGGAUAACAUUCGGAAACGGAUGCUAAUACCGCAUAGAUCUUUUUGUCUCCUGGCAGAAAGAAGAAAGACGGUUUCGGCUGUCACUUGAAGAUGGACCCGCGGCGCAUUAGUUAGUUGGUGAGGUAAUGGCUCACCAAGACGAUGAUGCGUAGCCGACCUGAGAGGGUGAUCGGCCACACUGGGACUGAGACACGGCCCAGACUCCUACGGGAGGCAGCAGUAGGGAAUCUUCCGCAAUGGACGAAAGUCUGACGGAGCAACGCCGCGUGAGUGAAGAAGGUUUUCGGAUCGUAAAACUCUGUUGUUAGAGAAGAACAAGGAUGAGAGUAACUGCUCGUCCCUUGACGGUAUCUAACCAGAAAGCCCUGGCUAACUACGUGCCAGCCGCCGCGGUAA